rnacentral:rRNA from 1 species
UACAUGGGGUGCAAACGUUGCUCGGAAUUAUUGGGCGUAAAGGGCGUGUAGGCGGUUGGUCAAGUCUGAUGUGAAAGCCCGGGGCUCAGCUCCGGAAGGGCAUCGGAAACUAGCCAGCUGGAGCGCGAUAGAGGAGGGCGGAAUUCCUGGUGUAGCGGUGAAAUGCGUAGAUAUCAGGAGGAACACCGGCGGCGAAGGCGGCCCUCUGGAUCGUUGCUGACGCUGAGACGCGAAAGCGUGGGGAGCAAACAGG